rnacentral:lncRNA from 13 species
AUGGAUGUGGCAGUACUACUGGGGCUAUNNNNNNNNNNCAUGGCCACAGCCAGUACUACACAGAAUGGGCCGACUUCGCGUUCCGAGGAGAGCCAAGAAGCGCAAACAAAUGUCAACGCCACAACUGAAUACUGCGCAAAGUUACAGGAAUGGAUGUGGCAGUACUACUGGGGCUAUGCAAAUUGGCAAAACUGGAUGACUCUGACUACGUUUCCUUUCCCCCCGUGCAAUUUUCCCGUAGCUGGAAACUAUCAAGCACCGACUGGAACUCCAUGGCCCGCUGGACAACCAACUUUAGAUGCCCGAUAUGGGUACAACUAUCCGGGAAUAGGGUACCCCUUUCCANNNNNNNNNNCUACCCUCUGCCAAAGAAACGGCCCAGAUCAUGGUGCAGCACGUCUUUCGGAUCCAUGGACUGCCAGUGGACAUGGUCUCCGACCGGGGUCCUCAGUUCUCGUCCCAGUUCUGGGAGGUGUUCUGCACGCUCGUUGGGGGUUUUGCCAGCCUGUCCUCCUGAUUCCACCCCCAGUCCAACGGCCAGACCUGGAGACAACUCUUUGCUGCCUGGUCUCCGCCAAUCCCACCACCUGGAGCCAGCAACUAGUGUGGGUCGAAAAUGCCCGCAACACCUUUCCUUGCUCUGCCACGGGUCUCUCGCCCUUUGACUGUUCCGUGGGUUAUCAGCCCCCGCUCUUCCUGGAGCAAGAGGUCGGCAUACCCUCUACCCAGAUGUUUGUCCGCCGCUGUCGUCGCACCUGGAAGAGAGCCUUCUCAAGACCACUUCCAGGUAUCGACGCAAACGGACUGCCACCGGACCCCUGCUCCCCGAUAUCGUCUCGGGCAGAGGGUAUGGCUGUCCACCCGAGAUCUGCCACUCCGGAUGGAGUCCCGCAAACUUUCCCCCUGGUUUAUCGGCCCUUUCCCCAUCACCAAGAUCAUAAGACCCUCUGCUGUUCAUCUUCUGUUGCCCAGUCCCCUCUGUAUUCAUCCCACUUUUCAUGUGUCUAG